UGUUGUUCGAUAUUCCUAAUCCAAUUCCUUAUGUUGUUGAACGACGAUUCAUCAGUGACAUCAUAAACAAGCAAGAUACCCAUGGCCCCGCGAUAGUAAGCAGUUGUAAUGGUUCUAAAUCUUUCUUGACCUGCAGUAUCCCAAAUUUGCAGUUUGAUUCGUUUAGCAUCUAGUUCAAUUGUCCUUAUCUUGAAAUCAAUUCCAAUUGUAGUGAUGAAACUCGUGGUGAAAGAGCCAUCAGAAAACCGCAGUAGAAGACAACUCUUACCAACACCGCUAUCGCCGAUGAGGAGAAGCUUUAUGAGAUAAUCAUAGUCCGCCCGAGCCCUAGCCGGUGGCGCAGCCAUGGAAUCAACGCGGUCACGAGAAGCAACGACCCGAUCACAAACCCCCCUCUCAGAUCGAAUCGACGGAGUCUCCGGCCGUGGAGGAGAUCGUGAGCGGCGAGAUCGGAGAUCUGUCGCUUUCUCUCUCCUCCCGCUCUCUUGUUUUCUCUCUCCUCUUUCUCACUCGUGAAG
rnacentral:misc_RNA from 1 species